rnacentral:rRNA from 1 species
GAUCAUGGCUCAGGAUGAACGCUAGCUACAGGCUUAACACAUGCAAGUCGAGGGGCAGCAUGGUCUUAGCUUGCUAAGGCCGAUGGCGACCGGCGCACGGGUGAGUAACACGUAUCCAACCUGCCGUCUACUCUUGGACAGCCUUCUGAAGGGAAGAUUAAUACAAGAUGGCAUCAUGAGUCCGCAUGUUCACAUGAUUAAAGGUAUCCCGGUAGACGAUGGGGA